rnacentral:lncRNA from 1 species
AAGAUAUUAGUUAUUGCAUAAACACACUAAUAAAUAAUUAUUAAUUUAGCUAAUAUUUUAUUAUUAAAUUAGUUAAUUUUUAAUUUAGCUAAUUAGUUAAUAAAAUGAUAUAUAUAAUAUAUUAAUUAAUAAUAUUUUAUUAUUAAACUAGUAGAGGUAUAAAGAGAAAAAUUUGCUAUUCCACCAAAAGGGUGGAACAACAAAUCUCCCCUCUUAACGGGUUAUUCUAGAAUAACCCGUUAAGAGGGGAAUAAAAUAAACUCACUUCCUCUUAUAGUGUUUGGAUGAAUUAGAGGGAUAAAGUGGUCUAUUCCCACUUUAUCCCCCAACCAAACAAUGCCUUAGAGUGUAUAUAUAGUAUUUUUUUUAAAAAAAUCUUAAGGGAGCUAUUUCAGAAUAUACAAUCGGUGAGCGGUCUCCUUACAUUUUUAUCGUAAAAAAUUAGCAUCCAAUAAUUCGACCUGUUUCGUGGACUGGUCUCCUCGUUUACUCCAGUCACCUCUACAAACGUCAAUCCACUAAUUGUCCACCGAUUUCCACCAAUUUCUUUAUAACACAACAAAUUUUGGUUCAACAAAUUUUGGUUGUAUUGAAAUAGCGAUGCGUUGCACGAAUAUACUGUUAGUGGGUGCCUUUAGUUAGCCACUUGGUUCAUUUUUUACAAUACUCAAAUGUGCAGUUACAAUUAAAUGGCACUAUAAAAAUCUUUCGAUAUAAGGAUGUUUUUUAAAUAACACUUAACAACGAUAUUUCAAAAAGCGUCGUCAUAUAAAACCCUCUAUUACAACAAACCGAUUUAUUAGAUGAUAUACUUUAUUAUUAUUUUUAAUUUUUGACACUUUAAAGCGUUAGAAUUUCAAAAAAAUUCUUAAAAAUUCUGACACUUUAAAACAUCAUAAUAUAUUUUAUCGACGCUUGGCAUAAGCGGCGGUAUAUAAGAAGUGAUGUUUUAAGAGACGCUUUUAAAUAUAAAAAAAACAUGUUUAAAUUUUUUUUUUUUUUUGUAGUGUG